GGGGAUGUAGCUCAAGUGGUAGCGCGCUCGCCUAGCAUGCGUGUGGCCUGGGUUUGAUCCUCAGCAGCACCA
rfam:Ictidomys tridecemlineatus contig131877, whole genome shotgun sequence.